rnacentral:rRNA from 1 species
GAUGAACGCUGGCUACAGGCUUAACACAUGCAAGUCGAGGGGAAACGACGGGGAAGCUUGCUUCCUUGGGCGUCGACCGGCGCACGGGUGAGUAACGCGUAUCCAACCUGCCUCUGACUGAGGGAUAACCCGUCGAAAGUCGGCCUAAUACCUCAUGGCAUCGUCUGCGGGCAUCCAACGACGAUUAAAGAUUUCAUCGGUCAGGGAUGGGGAUGCGUCUGAUUAGCUAGUUGGCGGGGUAACGGCCCACCAAGGCGACGAUCAGUAGGGGUUCUGAGAGGAAGGUCCCCCACAUUGGAACUGAGACACGGUCCAAACUCCUACGGGAGGCAGCAGUGAGGAAUAUUGGUCAAUGGGCGAGAGCCUGAACCAGCCAAGUAGCGUGCAGGAUGACGGCCCUAUGGGUUGUAAACUGCUUUUAUGCGGGGAUAAAGUGAGGGACGUGUCCUUCAUUGCAGGUACCGCAUGAAUAAGGACCGGCUAAUUCCGUGCCAGCAGCCGCGGUAAUACGGAAGGUCCGGGCGUUAUCCGGAUUUAUUGGGUUUAAAGGGAGCGUAGGCCGUGGAUUAAGCGUGUUGUGAAAUGUAGAUGCUCAACAUCUGACUUGCAGCGCGAACUGGUUUACUAGAGUGUGCACAACGUAGGCGGAAUUCGUCGUGUAGCGGUGAAAUGCUUAGAUAUGACGAAGAACUCCGAUUGCGAAGGCAGCUUACGGGAGCACAACUGACGCUGAAGCUCGAAGGUGCGGGUAUCAAACAGG